UCCUGGCUUCCCAAAUUCUGCUUCUCGGGAUGUGGUUUGGAGUUAGACACCUCCAACAGAGAGGGCCCCAAGGGAAGCAACAACCCCCUAGGGCGGCCUCAAAAGGGACCCCUGCGGUUUAACAUCAUUCACAAGCACCAGUAAGGCACUAUGAAAGACACCGUUCCAGGAGUUUGCCAAACACAGCCGCACUUUGUGUUCGCUACUUUACAGACUGAGACGUUGAGGCGUGAAGUUCUUUAACUCGUUCGAGGUCACACGAUUGGGCAAGUAGUGGAGCCGAGAUUCUCCUCAGGCACCUCUGCUCUCUCAGCCUCUUUGCCCUUGUGACAGGCGGCGCCGAGCGGCCCCACAGCCUAAUUCCCACCUGGAACCCCAAGAGGAGGAGGUGGACCCUCGAUGCGGGCCAACGCGUAACUGAUUGGCGCUUCCAGGAGUCCAGCUCCUGUGCUAUGUGAGGCACUAUGCUGUGUGCUGGACAGUGCUGAACAUUCGGGGUCAUCUGCCCAGGGUCAAGGGUCACUCUCCAGACCUUCAAGGUUCAAGGUUGUGACUGCCUCAAGUAGGGGUGGGGGGCUGUGAGGCCUCCCACCCAAAAGAUCAGAAAUAAAACUGCCACAAGGAUUGCAUUUUCAAAAUCAAUCCAGCAGGUGUUACUCACCCACCCCCAUAUACUUCUACAGGGUGUGGUGAGGGUGUGGGGGGGAAGUAAGAGAGAAAUUAAACUCUUGAAUUCCUUGAAAUCCCAGUCUGAAGAUCACCUCUGGACCAGUGAAGAGGAGCCAGGACCACAGAAGGAUCAUUCCAGAGCAUUCCAUACAUCUGCUCUGUGACCUUCCUGAAUCUUCUUUUGCCAAUUAGAUCACAGAUUAUGAGUUCAAUUAAAAAUAAACCUAGUUAAUAAAAAUAAGCUAAAAAUUUUUUUUUGCAAACAUUAUAGUAAGAGGAUCGACUUCUAUCCGGCCAGGCCCUGGUUACAUGACACUUCCGGGCAGAAGGCUCCAUCUUCCCAUUGAAAGGAACGACCUGGCACUGGACUGUACACAUCAAGUACUGGGCUCAGUUAAGGGGUCUCGUGUGACCUUGGAGCCUUGCCAGAAGAGGAGGAAAAAUUACUGCAUGUCUGCAAAAUCCUUCUGUUUCUCCAAGCCUGUUCCCAAACAGCAUCUUCUUUCUGGUGCUUUUGCUGUCAUGGCUUGUUACAUAUUAAAUGGUUUUUAAAUAUUG